rnacentral:rRNA from 1 species
GAGUUUGAUCUUGGCUCAGGACGAACGCUGGCGGCGCGCCUAACACAUGCAAGUCGAACGGAGUUACUCUGAAUGAAGUUUUCGGAUGGAUUUUGGAUUAACUUAGUGGCGAACGGGUGAGUAACGCGUGAGUAACCUGCCCUGGAGUGGGGGACAACAGUUGGAAACGACUGCUAAUACCGCAUAAGCCCACAGUGCCGCAUGGCACAGCGGGAAAAGGUUUAUUCGCUUCAGGAUGGACUCGCGUCCAAUUAGCUAGUUGGUGAGGUAACGGCCCACCAAGGCGACGAUUGGUAGCCGGACUGAGAGGUUGAACGGCCACAUUGGGACUGAGACACGGCCCAGACUCCUACGGGAGGCAGCAGUGGGAAUAUUGCACAAUGGGGGAACCCUGAUGCAGCGACGCCGCGUGAGGGAAGAAGGUUUUCGGAUUGUAAACCUCUGUCCUUGGUGACGAUAAUGACGGUAGCCAAGGAGGAAGCCACGGCUAACUACGUGCCAGCCGCCGCU